GACGAACGCUGGCGGCGUGCCUAAUACAUGCAAGUCGAGCGAGGAUAAAAAGCUUGCUUUUUAUUCCUAGCGGCGGACGGGUGAGUAACACGUGGGCAACCUGCCUAUAAGACUGGGAUAACUUCGGGAAACCGGAGCUAAUACCGGAUAAUGUUUUUUCACACAUGUGAGAAAACUGAAAGAUGGUUUCGGCUAUCACUUAUAGAUGGGCCCGCGGCGCAUUAGCUAGUUGGUGAGGUAACGGCUCACCAAGGCGACGAUGCGUAGCCGACCUGAGAGGGUGAUCGGCCACACUGGGACUGAGACACGGCCCAGACUCCUACGGGAGGCAGCAGUAGGGAAUCUUCCGCAAUGGACGAAAGUCUGACGGAGCAACGCCGCGUGAGUGAUGAAGGUUUUCGGAUCGUAAAACUCUGUUGUUAGGGAAGAACAAGUACCGGAGUAACUGCCGGUACCUUGACGGUACCUAACCAGAAAGCCACGGCUAACUACGUGCCAGCCGCCGCAGUAAAAC
rnacentral:rRNA from 1 species